rnacentral:lncRNA from 1 species
UUAUAUUCACAAAGUGCUUUUCGUUUCUUAUAUAUGUGAGCUAUUUGAUUGCCUCAAAAUAUUUUCUCUCACAUAUAAUUGAGUGAUUAUAAGCUUUUAAGCAUUGUCUUGAAUUCUGAGAGAAGAAAGAGUGGAUAUACCUUGUGAGGAUAUGAAUCAUACUUGUUCGAAGCAUGCUUAACAGAAACCAUCACCAUUAUUACAACCAAGUCCUACUUGUGUAUGUGAGAUUUCUGAGACAAAAAGUUGAAGGGCAAUAGAGUCAUUGUUUUUGUAGAGUCUUUAAUUUUCGUUGAGUCUUAGUGUGUGUCUUAGUGUGAUUUUGCUAAGGGACUAGCAAAAGCUAAGUGUGGGGGAAUUUG